AGUGCACGCUGGCGGCGUGCUUAACACAUGCAAGUCGAACGGACUUCUUGAGGGCUUGCUCUUAAGAAGUUAGUGGCGCACGGGUGAGUAAUAUAUAGCUAAUCUGCCCCUUGGAGGGGGACAACAGUUGGAAACGACUGCUAAUACCCCAUACUCCGUUAAUCCAUAAGUGUUAAAGGGAAAUGUCUUUUCGCCAAGGGAUGAGGCUUUAUCGUAUCAGUUUGUUGGUGAGGUAACGGCUCACCAAGACUAUGACGCGUAGCUGGUCUGAGAGGAUGAUCAGCCACACUGGAACUGAGACACGGUCCAGACUCCUACGGGAGGCAGCAGUGGGGAAUAUUGCACAAUGGGGGAAACCCUGAUGCAGCAACGCCGCGUGGAGGAUGACGCAUUUCGGUGUGUAAACUCCUUUUAUUUGGGAAGAUAAUGACGGUACCAAAUGAAUAAGCACCGGCUAACUCCGUGCCAGCCGCCGCGGUAA
rnacentral:rRNA from 1 species